ACGCUGGCGGCAGGCCUAACACAUGCAAGUCGAGCGGCAGCGGGAAGUAGCUUGCUACUUUGCCGGCGAGCGGCGGACGGGUGAGUAAUGUCUGGGAAACUGCCUGAUGGAGGGGGAUAACUACUGGAAACGGUAGCUAAUACCGCAUGACGUCGCAAGACCAAAGUGGGGGACCUUCGGGCCUCACGCCAUCGGAUGUGCCCAGAUGGGAUUAGCUAGUAGGUGAGGUAAUGGCUCACCUAGGCGACGAUCCCUAGCUGGUCUGAGAGGAUGACCAGCCACACUGGAACUGAGACACGGUCCAGACUCCUACGGGAGGCAGCAGUGGGGAAUAUUGCACAAUGGGCGCAAGCCUGAUGCAGCCAUGCCGCGUGUGUGAAGAAGGCCUUAGGGUUGUAAAGCACUUUCAGCGAGGAGGAAGGCGUUGUAGUUAAUAGCUGCAACGAUUGACGUUACUCGCAGAAGAAGCACCGGCUAACUCCGUGCCAGCAGCCGCGGUAAUACGGAGGGUGCAAGCGUUAAUCGGAAUUACUGGGCGUAAAGCGCACGCAGGCGGUUUGUUAAGUCAGAUGUGAAAUCCCCGAGCUUAACUUGGGAACUGCAUUUGAAACUGGCAAGCUAGAGUCUUGUAGAGGGGGGUAGAAUUCCAGGUGUAGCGGUGAAAUGCGUAGAGAUCUGGAGGAAUACCGGUGGCGAAGGCGGCCCCCUGGACAAAGACUGACGCUCAGGUGCGAAAGCGUGGGGAGCAAAC
rnacentral:rRNA from 1 species